rnacentral:rRNA from 1 species
GUGGGGAAUCUUAGACAAUGGGCGCAAGCCUGAUCUAGCCAUGCCGCGUGAGCGAUGAAGGCCUUAGGGUUGUAAAGCUCUUUCAGGGGGGAAGAUAAUGACGGUACCCCCAGAAGAAGCCCCGGCUAACUCCGUGCCAGCAGCCGCGGUAAUACGGAGGGGGCUAGCGUUGUUCGGAAUUACUGGGCGUAAAGCGCACGUAGGCGGACCAGAAAGUCAGGGGUGAAAUCCCGGGGCUCAACCCCGGAACUGCCUUUGAAACUCCUGGUCUUGAGGUAGAGAGAGGUGAGUGGAAUUCCGAGUGUAGAGGUGAAAUUCGUAGAUAUUCGGAGGAACACCAGUGGCGAAGGCGGCUCACUGGCUCGAUACUGACGCUGAGGUGCGAAAGCGUGGGGAGCAAACAGGAUUAGAUACCCGUGUAGUCC